AUGGAAGAACUUUCAGGAGUAUCGACUCAAAGAAAUAUGCGUCUGGAUUCAUCCGAAGGUAGUCCAGAAGAGAAAGCAAAAAUAGCUGAAUUCGCAAACUGGAUACUAAACAUAGGCGAUGACACAACGUCAAUAAUAGAUGAAGAGGAUUGGGUUGGCAUCCCAGAGGACCUUAUUUUACAUGAAGGGGAUGACCCGAAAGCAUCUAUUGUUAACACCACCUAUCCUGACUUACACAGAAAAUACACUGAUAGAACAUACCUAGAGGAAAGAGUGAUCUUGUGCCCAAGAAACGAGACUGUUGACCAGAUUAAUGCAUACAUCAUGAGUCAAAUCCCUGGAGAAGAGGUAACCUAUUUCAGUUCAGAUACAACAUGCAAGGCAAUGUCUACGGUGGAAGAUGAAGAUAUGUUGUACCCAACUGAGUUUCUAAAUAGUCUUACAUUUUCUGGAAUUUCAGACCAUGAACUGAGGUUGAAAGUAGGAUUACCAAUAAUGCUUAUGAGGAACAUCAAUCAAAGUGCAUGA
rnacentral:rRNA from 1 species